rnacentral:rRNA from 2 species
GCUAUACAUGCAAGUCGAACGAACUCUGGUAUUGAUUGGUGCUUGCAUCAUGAUUUACAUUUGAGUGAGUGGCGAACUGGUGAGUAACACGUGGGAAACCUGCCCAGAAGCGGGGGAUAACACCUGGAAACAGAUGCUAAUACCGCAUAACAACUUGGACCGCAUGGUCCGAGUUUGAAAGAUGGCUUCGGCUAUCACUUUUGGAUGGUCCCGCGGCGUAUUAGCUAGAUGGUGGGGUAACGGCUCACCAUGGCAAUGAUACGUAGCCGACCUGAGAGGGUAAUCGGCCACAUUGGGACUGAGACACGGCCCAAACUCCUACGGGAGGCAGCAGUAGGGAAUCUUCCACAAUGGACGAAAGUCUGAUGGAGCAACGCCGCGUGAGUGAAGAAGGGUUUCGGCUCGUAAAACUCUGUUGUUAAAGAAGAACAUAUCUGAGAGUAACUGUUCAGGUAUUGACGGUAUUUAACCAGAAAGCCACGGCUAACUACGUGCCAGCAGCCGCGGUAAUACGUAGGUGGCAAGCGUUGUCCGGAUUUAUUGGGCGUAAAGCGAGCGCAGGCGGUUUUUUAAGUCUGAUGUGAAAGCCUUCGGCUCAACCGAAGAAGUGCAUCGGAAACUGGGAAACUUGAGUGCAGAAGAGGACAGUGGAACUCCAUGUGUAGCGGUGAAAUGCGUAGAUAUAUGGAAGAACACCAGUGGCGAAGGCGGCUGUCUGGUCUGUAACUGACGCUGACGCUCGAAAGUAUGGGUAGCAAACAGGAUUAGAUACCCUGGUAGUCCAUACCGUAAACGAUGAAUGCUAAGUGUUGGAGGGUUUCCGCCCCUUCAGUGCUGCAGCUAACGCAUUAGCAUUCCGCCUGGGGGAGUACGGCCGCAAGGCUGAACUCAAGGAUGA